GGAAGUAGUGGGUUGCGUUCCAACGUCAAGCUGACAGCCCGAGAGCUGCUGCGCUCACUGGAGCCAGAGAGCCGCCGUGUGUGGAGCAGGACCAGGAGGAGGAGGACUCACUCUGCGGGGAUUCGAGCUCCUGCGCUGCGGCUGGAUUUUUGUUCUAUACCCCAUUGGCAGGACGCGCUGAAAACCCACUACCACCGUCUGUAGCUGGCCGAUCAUCAAGCGGCUGUGACAUGUCCAGAAGGAAGAUGGAGAGCAUCGUGCGGAGCUGGGUGGUGCUACUCAUUCUGCUGUGUGAUGUGACAAAGUUCUUCGUGGAGGCGAGUAUGGGCGUCAAUGAGACUCAUGAGCACCAGCAUCCGACCAACGUCUACCACGACAUGGGACUGACCAGGAACAAGAUCGUGACUGCCCAGUUCGAGUGCUAUCAGAAGAUAAUGAAGGACAGCGCCCACGGCAGACAAGAGCCCCUGUGUAAUCGAACGUGGGACGGCUGGCUGUGUUGGGACGACACCAGGGCCGGGGUCAUCUCAGAGCAGAACUGCCCAGACUACUUCCAGGACUUCGAUCCUUCAGAGAUGGUCACAAAGAUUUGCACUGACACCGGUCAUUGGUUCCUGCAUCCCGACAGCAACCGGACAUGGACCAACUUCACCCGCUGCAAUGAGCACACCAACGAAGUCAGAGUGACUGCGAUGAAUCUUUUCUACUUAGCCCUCAUUGGACACGGACUGUCCCUGACGUCCCUGCUCGUCUCCCUCGGAAUAUUCUUCCAUUUCAAGAGUUUGAGUUGCCAAAGGAUCACGCUUCACAAAAACCUCUUCUUCUCCUUCGUCCUGAACUCUGUCAUCACCAUCAUCCUGUUGACGGCAGUGGCAAACAACCAGGAGCUGGUUCAGAGGAAUCCAACGAGCUGCAAAGUCUCCCAAUUCAUUCAUCUCUACCUAUUUGGCUGCAACUACUUCUGGAUGCUGUGUGAGGGGAUUUACCUGCACACGCUCAUCGUGGUGGCCGUGUUCGCUGAGAAGCAGCACCUGAUGUGGUACUACCUCCUCGGCUGGGGCUUUCCUCUCAUUCCGGCGACCAUCCAUGCCGUUGCUCGAAGUUACUACUACAAUGACAACUGUUGGAUCAGCUCCAAAACGUCACUGCUCUACAUCAUCCACGGCCCCAUCUGCGCUGCUCUACUGGUGAACUUAUUCUUCCUGCUGAACAUCGUGCGAGUGCUCAUCACCAAGCUGAAGGUGACCCACCAGGCGGAGUCCAGUCUCUACAUGAAGGCGGUGAGAGCCACCCUCAUCCUGGUGCCUCUUCUGGGAAUCCAGUACGUGCUGCUGCCUUACAAGCCAGAGGGGCGGGUGUCCUCGGAGAUCUACGACUACAUCAUGCACAUACUCAUGCAUUACCAGCCCCGUGAAGAACAGCAGGAAGGAAGGCAUGAAUUAUCCGAGCGUGAGGGGGGGCAAUCAGUUGCAUGUUGGGCGAUGUGUUAUCUGAUCGUCCUGUUGUGUCCCAGCGUGGGCAGAGAACGUCUUGAGCAACAGGCUGAAUCGGCUCCAGAAUACAGUUUGACCUCGAACCCUCAGAAUAUGAUCCACAAAUAAACUAUCGACUGUCGGAGCUUGAGACCAGCGACUGAGGUCUGACAUCUGUUCUUUUCUUUUCAUUCCAGGGUCUGCUGGUGGCCACCAUCUUCUGCUUCUUCAACGGAGAAGUCCAGUCAGUUCUGAGGAGGCACUGGAACCAGUACAAUAUCCAGUUUGGCAGCAGCAUAGGAAACCACUCGGACGCCCUGCGCUCCGCCUCCUACACGGCCUCCU